UACGUAGGGGGCAAGCGUUGUCCGGAAUUACUGGGCGUAAAGGGCGCGUAGGCGGGUUUCCAAGUCGGGGGUGAAAUUCCGGGGCUCAACCCUGGGACGGCCUUCGAUACUGGGAGCCUGGAGAUCGGGAGAGGUGAGUGGAAUUCCGAGUGUAGAGGUGAAAUUCGUAGAUAUUCGGAAGGAACACCAGAAGCGAAGGCGGCUCACUGGCCCGAGACUGACGCUGAGGCGCGAAAGCGUGGGGAGCAAACAGG
rnacentral:rRNA from 1 species